rnacentral:rRNA from 1 species
AGGAUUAGAUACCCUGGUAGUCCACGCCGUAAACGAUGUCGAUUUGGAGGUUGUGCCCUUGAGGCGUGGCUUCCGGAGCUAACGCGUUAAAUCGACCGCCUGGGGAGUACGGCCGCAAGGUUAAAACUCAAAUGAAUUGACGGGGGCCCGCACAAGCGGUGGAGCAUGUGGUUUAAUUCGAUGCAACGCGAAGAACCUUACCUGGUCUUGACAUCCACAGAACUUUCCAGAGAUGGUUUGGUGCCUUCGGGAACUGUGAGACAGGUGCUGCAUGGCUGUCGUCAGCUCGUGUUGUGAAAUGUUGGGUUAAGUCCCGCAACGAGCGCAACCCUUAUCCUUUGUUGCCAGCGGUUAGGCCGGGAACUCAAAGGAGACUGCCAGUGAUAAACUGGAGGAAGGUGGGGAUGACGUCAAGUCAUCAUGGCCCUUACGACCAGGGCUACACACGUGCUACAAUGGCGCAUACAAAGAGAAGCGACCUCGCGAGAGCAAGCGGACCUCAUAAAGUGCGUCGUAGUCCGGAUUGGAGUCUGCAACUCGACUCCAUGAAGUCGGAAUCGCUAGUAAUCGUAGAUCAGAAUGCUACGGUGAAUACGUUCCCGGGCCUUGUACACACCGCCCGUCACACCAUGGGAGUGGGUUGCAAAAGAAGUAGGUAGCUUAACCUUCGGGAGGGCGCUUACCACUUUGUGAUUCAUGACUGGGGUGAAGUC